rnacentral:rRNA from 1 species
AGCAGCCGCGGUAAUUCCAGCUCCAAUAGCGUAUAUUAAAGUUGUUGCAGUUAAAAAGCUCGUAGUUGAAUUUUGGGUUUGGCCGGUUGGUCCGUUCUUGUAACGAGUACUGGUCGGUUGGGCCUCACCGCUUGGGGAAGGGUAAUGCCCCUUAUUGGGUGUUGCUCGGAGCCAAGACCUUUACCUUGAAAAAUUAGAGUGUUUAAAGCAGGCAUAUGCCAGAAUACAUUAGCAUGGAAUAAUAGAAUAGGACAACGAUUCUAUUUUGUUGGUUUCUAGGACCGUUGUAAUGAUUAAUAGGGAUAGUUGGGGGCAUUAGUAUUCAAUUGUCAGAGGUGAAAUUCUUGGAUUUAUUGAAGACUAACUACUGCGAAAGCAUUUGCCAAGGAUGUUUUCAUUAAUCAAGAACGAAAGUUAGGGGAUCGAAGACGAUCAGAUACCGUCGUAGUCUUAACCAUAAACUAUGCCGACUAGGGAUCGGGCGAUGUUGUUUCAAUGACUCGCUCG